UACGAAGGGUGCAAGCGUUACUCGGAAUUACUGGGCGUAAAGCGUGCGUAGGUGGUGAGUUAAGUCUGUCGUGAAAGCCCCGGGCUCAACCUGGGAAUGGCGAUGGAUACUGGCUCGCUAGAGUGCGGUAGAGGAGAGUGGAAUUCCCGGUGUAGCAGUGAAAUGCGUAGAGAUCGGGAGGAACAUCAGUUGCGAAGGCGGCUCUCUGGACCAGCACUGACACUGAUGCACGAAAGCUAGGGGAGCAAACAGG
rnacentral:rRNA from 1 species